UACAGAGGGGGCAAGCGUUAUUCGGAAUUAUUGGGCGUAAAGGGCGCGUAGGCGGCCUGGCAAGUGGAAGGUGAAAUCCCUCGGCUUAACCGAGGAACUGCCCUCCAAACUGCUUGGCUUGAGUCCGGGAGAGGUGAGUGGAAUUCCCAGUGUAGCGGUGAAAUUCGUAGAUAUCGGGAGGAACACCUGUGGCGAAAGCGGCUCACUGGACCACAACUGACGCUGAGGCGCGAAAGCUAGGGGAGCAAACAGG
rnacentral:rRNA from 1 species